CCCUAAAGUGGGGACAACACGCCGAAAGGUGUGCUAAUACCGCAUGUGGACUAGCAUGGCAUCAUGUGAAGUCCAAAGGAUUUAUUCGCUUUAGGAUGGGCCCGCGGCCUAUCAGCUAGUUGGUGAGGUAACGGCUCACCAAGGCUUCGACGGGUAGCUGGUCUGAGAGGACGAUCAGCCGGAUUGGGACUGAGAUACGGCCCAG
rnacentral:rRNA from 1 species